UACGUAGGGGGCGAGCGUUGUCCGGAAUGACUGGGCGUAAAGGGUGUGUAGGCGGUUUAUUAAGUUAGAUGUGAAAGCCUUGGGCUUAACCCGAGGAUUGCAUUAGGAACUAUCAAGCUAGAGUACAGGAGAGGAAAGCGGAAUUCCUAGUGUAGCGGUGAAAUGCGUAGAUAUUAGGAAGAACACCAGUGGCGAAGGCGGCUUUCUGGACUGAAACUGACGCUGAGGCACGAAAGCGUGGGGAGCGAACAGG
rnacentral:rRNA from 1 species